rnacentral:misc_RNA from 1 species
CAGAGUUGCAAACUCCCACAAACCAUCGCGAAUCUUACCCGUACGGUUGCCUCGGCGCUGGCGGUCCGGAAGGCCCUCGGGCCCCCCGGAUCCUCGGGUCUCCCGCUCGCGGGAGGCUGCCCGCCGGAGUGCCGAAACCAAACUCUUGAUAUUUUAUGUCUCUCUGAGUAAACUUUUAAAUAAGUCA